UUCAUUUCUUAACACGUCUUUGCAUUUGCUAUCACGCACACAAGCUCCUGAUCGGUCCUGUAACAUGGAUUCCUGUGAGUUAAUUUAGAGUUAUGGCUGUGCCUGUUUUUUUAAUGUGAUGUUAUUCAUAUUGGUGGCUGAGCUAGAAGAGAUUGGUCUCAUGGAACAGGGUACAAGCUGUGGCUGAAGAUUGUUACUGCCCCUGAGAUGAAGAGGACUCUAAGGCUGAUUUUCUCUUCCUGACACAUGAGUCCAGCAUCAUCCCCCCCACCCACCCACCUCUGAGUGAGACCAGGGUCGUGUUUACUGGCAGGAAACGAAGGAAAAUGGUCCGAAUCUGAGUGAUGCGGUAAGGUACUGUUCGAACAUGCUCGUUUCGCGUUGCACAAUGUUUUGAAACAUUUUCUUAUAUUGUGCCCUCAUGAACUCAACGGAUAAUAGAGGUAAUUUUUUAUUCACAUACUGUACCUGCAACAUAACCUCUAAGUCAUAAUCAUCAUCUGAAACUCAUCAGUAAUGGCCUCUUUCCAUGACAGAUGGUUGCUUUCAGCUGCCCCCUCCUGCUCCCUGCCUCUCGCUCUCUUUCCCUUUGUCUUUUUCUGUCUGUCUGUCUCUCACUCAAUCUUGCUCUCCCUCCCUCCCUCCAGUGAGGCUCCUGCAGCGGCCCUGUCUUUGGCCAACUUGGCACUGGUUCUUGUCUAUUUGGAGUGGACAUUAAUGAUUCUUUCUCACCCCGUUUUGUGCAGCACAGGCACACAGUGUUCAUGUUUGACAUGUUGCAGGGCAGUGGGGGUAUGGAUGUCCAUUCCUUUCAUAUAUCUCUCUGGACUCCACUCCGCUCUACGUGGAGAAAUGUACUUCUUACAUAACUCUCUGGGGUGAGAGAUGAGCCAGUCCAACUGAACUGGGCCACUCUAGGAAUUAGGAUAAACAACAUAUUUGAUUCUCCAAAGAAUGACGCAUCUGUGUCUGUUCACUGUGCUAGAGAAGAUUGGAAUUCAGGCAAUAAAGAGACAUGUUUUUUAGAGUCCUCUGAAGGGGCGAAGAUUUCCGGGACUGUUGUGCAGUCACUCCUCUGUACCAUAGAGAUACCACAGAGAUUCAUAAUGUCAAUUCACUUGUCGAUCGCUGCAUACAGCAAUGUUCAGUAACUUAAUACAUGCCACUUAGUGAGUGCAUACAUUUUUAGUAUGUCUAUGUGAUCCCUGUGGGAAUUGAACCCUUGACAUUGCUAGCGCCACCGACUGAGGCACACAAGACUAUCCCAUCCAUUUAGCAUGUGUGGUAUGCAUGGUUUCUCUUCCUUCUUCUUUGCCUCUCUCCCUCUGUCCAUGCCAUGUCUCAGGGUAUUUGCGAUAUCUAAAAUGGCGCGUGAGUGUAUCUGUCAUUAUCAAACUGCCCGCUAACUGUGAACAUCUGCCAGGGAGGAGGAGAAGAGUGAACUUUUCAAUGGGAGUCCUUGUCCGCACUGUCAACGCAGGAUACCGGCCUACCACAAGGUAUACAGAUGAGGAGACAUACUAAGGUAUGUCUAUUGGUAUUGGUAUGUUAUGCAGAUCACAUGUACCAUCCUCCUCCUUUACCUCUUUAUUGAAAAUCCCAUAAGCCUCUACAUUAUGGACAAGGUAUGUGUAUUAAAACCAUUAUCAAAACAGUUUUUUUUCAUUCACAUUUACAACAAAAACCAAGGUAUGAAAACUGUUGUGUGCAUGUUUUGUUAAACAUCUGGAUAAUUAAUAUUUUUUUAGAUUCACAGACUUCACUCUCCCUACACCUCUGAUGAAUAUAACAGGAAACCUGUUCAAUCAUCAUGCAAUUCAACAAUGAAGGUGUCAUGGAAAAUUACAUAAUUAGUCAUGCUAUCCUAUGUUUUACUGCUUAAAGAAUAGUCUAUUGUUAUAUGUCAGUGUUUUUUCUAACCUGAUACAAACUUAUCUUGUUGUGACUUAGUCAUAAGACUGGGCUUACAGCUAAGAGACGCUUGGGUGCAACCGCAGCAUGUGAAAUCCCAUGGGUUUACUAUCUACAGAAAGUCACAUGUAUGGAACCUUGCAGAAAGGAGUACAAUAUAGUGUUUGUUGUUGUGAGUGCAAUUAGACGGUUGAGCCACAAGGCUAUCAACCUUGUGCUAUCUUAAAGUCUGCACAGACAACUAAUUACCUUUUACACACUAUCUGCUGAUUGCCACAUAUACAGAAAGGGGUUGUAUUUUCUCUAUAAAAGCAGAGACCUGGCUAUGUUUGUUAAGCUUUCAACUCUGAACCAUUCUUGGUGAUGUUGACUACUUCAUUUUUGCAAAUCUUAUAAUAAAGCUAUUGUUGGAAAAAUCUACUGUCUCUCUCGUCCUCUAGAAUUUCCCUGAAAAAUUGCCGACAAAGAUGGACGGCUAACUCCACUUGCUGAUUGCUCCCGAUGGAGACGAGGUUACCUGCGCGCAGGGCUGCGUUAGAUGUGGCUCAGGGAGCCCACACUCCGACUAAAACGGAGCAGAAAGGGACCUGCCCCAGACCGGCUGGGAGCGUCAGUAUUCCUUGAAGAGGUGGGGUUUCAGGUGUCUCCGGAAGGUGGUGAUUGACUCCGCUGUCCUGGCGUCGUGAGGGAGCUUGUUCCACCAUUGGGG